UACGUAGGGUGCGAGCGUUAUUCGGAAUUACUGGGCGUAAAGCGUGCGCAGGCGGUUCGUUGUGUCCGUCGUGAAAGCCCCGGGCUUAACCUGGGAACUGCGAUGGAAACUAGCGAGCUGGAGUGUGGCAGAGGGGGGUGGAAUUCCGCGUGUAGCAGUGAAAUGCGUAGAGAUGCGGAGGAACACCGAUGGCGAAGGCAGCCCCCUGGGCUAACACUGACGCUCAGGCACGAAAGCGUGGGGAGCAAACAGG
rnacentral:rRNA from 1 species